rnacentral:lncRNA from 1 species
AAUAGCUAUGCUUUUUAUGAACAGGAAAAGUUUGAGGCAGAAAUAGACACAUUCAAGAAAGAGAGAGCAGUUACAUAAAACCUAAACCAGCUUCAGAAUGUAACUGCUCAAGAGGUGUAGCUAUUUUUGGUUCUUUAACAGGUUUAAGCAUGCUAACAAGUUCCACCAUAAACAGGCACUAAAAAGGAAACCCCCCAGUUAUAAUGACAUAAUGUGCAGAAAUAAUUCACCAAGGCUCAGAAGUAAGCAUGACAGAGAAGUGACCUUGCACAGCACCAUUCAGAGGUCACAGAUAAGGAGCUGGCGCUGUCUGGCUGGAGCUGGAAGAGGGAUGAAGAUGUGCAGGGACCUGCAAGGAGUGGAACUCCCUGAGUCAUUCCUCUGCCUGAAGCCCUGCUUUGAUGUGUUUAAG